CGCCUGGGGAGUACGGCCGCAAGGUUAAAACUCAAAUGAAUUGACGGGGGCCCGCACAAGCGGUGGAGCAUGUGGUUUAAUUCGAUGCAACGCGAAGAACCUUACCUGGUCUUGACAUCCACAGAACUUUCCAGAGAUGGAUUGGUGCCUUCGGGAACUGUGAGACAGGUGCUGCAUGGCUGUCGUCAGCUCGUGUUGUGAAAUGUUGGGUUAAGUCCCGCAACGAGCGCAACCCUUAUCCUUUGUUGCCAGCGGUCCGGCCGGGAACUC
rnacentral:rRNA from 2 species